rnacentral:tRNA from 2 species
GUCGAGGUACCACAGUGGCUAUGGGGCGGACUGCAGAUCCGCAGACGGGGGUUCGAUCCCCUCCCUCGACUCCA